rnacentral:lncRNA from 1 species
AGCUGGCAGUGAGCCGAGAUGGCGCCACUGCACUCCAGCCUGGGCGACAGAGUGAGACUCCGUCUUAAACAACAACAACAACAAAAAAGCAGUGCUAUGAUCGGGUGUUAACUUCUCAGUAGUACUUCAAAUUAUGGUGAGGGGGUGAGUUAGAAGCUGAGGAAUGGGUGCAGGGAAGUUGGAUGUGGUAUGAAUGAUCUAAAAAUGAGAGCAAUGUGCCAAGUACUGUGCUGAAUCAUUAAGUAUGCAAUCUCUUUUAUUCCUCAUAGUAGCCUUAAAGUUGGUUGGUAUCAUUUUCGUUUUAAAGAUGAUGAAACAGUGACUGAAAAGAUCUAAGAAACUUGCCGAAAGUCCCACAGCUAUGUAGUGGGAUUGCAUAGACUCCUGGACUCAGGGUACCAACCUGAGAUGAGUUGUUCAAGAGCAUUGACUUGGCUGGGUUCCGUGGCUCAUGCCUGUAAUCCUAGCACUUUGGGAGGCCAAGACAGGAGGAUCACAUGAGCCCAGGAGUUCAAGAUCAGCUUGGGCAACAUAGUGAGACUGCCCACCCCCACCCCGGCCCCAUCUCUAAUUAAUUAAUUAAAUUUUAAAAAUAACAUUGACACAACAUGGAGGAGGAAAAUAGAGCAAGUGGAGAGGGGAUAGAGACUUAAUUCCAUCAGCUCCCCUCUUUCCCCUCACCACUCUUCCUUUCCCUGUGUCCCGAACCCGUGUUUCUAAGUCCUGACUGCUAUUAUUCUGGUGUAUUAAAUACAUACUAUUUACUAUUUAAUACAUCUUUUGUUGUUGUUUGUUUUCUCAAAUUUUUUGUGGAGACAGGGUCUCCCUAUGUUGCACAGGAUGGUCUUGGACUCCUGGCCUCGAGCGAUCUUCCCACCUAAGCUCCCAAAGUCCUAGGAUUACAGGCAUGAGCAACCAUGCCCAGCCUAUUUAAUACAUCUUAUUUAAUAUAUAGUAUAAUACGUAAAUAUGUACUAUUUAAUAUUUAACACAUAUUAAAUACAAAUGGUCCCCAACUUACAAUAGUUCAACUUAAGAUUUUUCAACUUUAUGAUGGUGUGAAAGUGAUAGACAUUGAAUAGAAACUGUACAAUAUUCAAUAAAUGAUAUCUAACACUGUCUUAUAAAAUAUGCUUUGUGUUACAUGAUUGUGCCGUUAUAAGCUAUUAUAAGUGUUCCAAGUACGUUUAAGGUCCACUAGUCUAAGCUAUGAUGUUUGGUAGGUUAGGUGUUUUUUUGUUUUCUGUUUUGAGACGGAGUGUCACUCUUGUUGCCCAGGCUGGAGUGCAAUGGCGUGAUCUCAGCUCACCGCAA